rnacentral:rRNA from 1 species
UACGGAGGGUGCGAGCGUUGUCCGGAAUCACUGGGCGUAAAGGGCGCGUAGGCGGCCGUGUAAGUCACCUGUGAAAUCCCGGGCUCAACUCCGGGGCUGCAGGUGAGACUGCGUGGCUAGAGCACGGUAGAGGCGAGUGGAAUUCCCGGUGUAGCGGUGGAAUGCGUAGAUAUCGGGAAGAACACCGGUGGCGAAGGCGGCUCGCUGGGCCGUUGCUGACGCUGAGGCGCGAAAGCGUGGGGAGCAAACAGG